AUCAACCAAUACACGUAUCUUCUCCGUUGAAUUCAUGAAAGAAAAAACCUUUAAUUCGCUUCGCGUAUCAUUAUGGCACCCUCAACGGAGUUGGGGUGACAUCUUGUUAUUCUACGUUUCUUUUUUUUCUUUUUAUUAUUUUUAUUCUUCCACACAUUUUGUCCACGCUAUUUCUCGUAAUUGGUCAGACCCAUGUUGAUGGAACUAUACCAUAAUAUGAACCGCCAUGUGGAGUUGUGCAAGAGACAUUGGAAUGGUAAAAAAUGGCCGCCGUUACCAUGGAAACUAAAAAAAUGUAAAAAAAAAUCCAAAUUUUAAAUCUUUCGUUAUAAGAGGCAAAGUCUUGAAAGUUUAUGUAAAUGUUGGCAGUGGUGCCCCGAGGUACCAACAGUACUUGGAAUUUCCAAAAUGGCUGCCAUUGCCAUGGAAACUGGACAAAAGUUUAGCACUGACCCUAUGGGAAAAUGCAUUUAAGCUGCAUUUUCUUUUAAAAAUAUAACAACAAUUCCACGGAAAUCGUAAUUAGGAGUAUGUGCAUAUGGUCACAUGCAAUGCUGUACUGCUAACAUGUACUAGAAUAUUCUAGAAUAAAAAAUAUGUAAUUUAUUUAAUGUGCUUUAUAGAGAAAAUCGCCACCGAGAGAACGAGAAACACUCAGAGUACAAAUUACUGACAUUUCUGCACUUGCGUUAAAGUACAUAUCCGUGAAUGACACACCUGCUAAAAUAUACACAUUAGCUGAAAUCAAUCGAUAAACAUGUAAUUAAAUUGUACACGAUAAGUUACAUGUAUUGUAUGAUACGCGAGCUAUUGAAGAAUAAAUUGAACAGUUAAUACGCCGCUCCGUCAAUAUAUACACAUGUUGUCUGUCC
rnacentral:lncRNA from 1 species